UUUGUGGGGAACGUUGGCUGGCUCGAGGCAUCCUCGCCGACGGCGGUUGGAGGCAUCGGACCAUGCUUCAUUCCUCACAAA
rnacentral:pre_miRNA from 2 species